UUACUUUAUGAAUAUAUUCAUGACAUUUGUAAUAAAUGUCUUGAGAAAGAAUUUGUUUCAUGGCUUCAUGGUCAUCACUCAGCUCCCCUAAGGAUGUUACCGUCUCAGGAAAGAUUCAGGGCUCCGUGUCACAGUCCUGCCAUCUUACUUUCCUCUUGUCGAGUUUCUGAGUCAAAGUACUGCAUUACAACUGCUUUAACCUCGGUCCCCAAAAGAAACUUGCUGUUUUCUAGGCUUAAUCUUCUUCCUUUGUGUUUAAUUUUCUUGUGUAUUGUGAAAAUGAGGGAGUCUUCUCUGCCCCCACCCACUUAAACACAACAGCCAUUUGUACCUGUUUGCUUCCCAUCCAACUUGGCACCCACUCUGGCCUCUGUCACUCCCUUCCCCCCGGUUCACUGUUUUUGAAAAAGGCUCUCCUUUGAGCUACAAACAUCUGGUAAGACAAGUACAUCCACUCAUGAAUGCAGACACAGCAGCUGGUGGUUUUGUGUAUUCUCUUAAAGACAUGAUAAACUGAGAAGCCUUACUUUUUGGGGAGGGAAAAGAAGAUGGAAACGGGUGUUUCAUUUGUGUGAAUUUGGAGCAGUGCUGAAAGGCCAAAGCUUUCUGCUGGUUUGUAGUUAAUGUAUAGAAGGUUGCAAAGUUUAUCCUACAUUUAAAGGGAUUUGAGGUAGGCUGGAUUCCAUUGCCACAGGACUUGAGUUAGAAUUAGAUUCCUGCUGGUGAUUUAUAUCCAUGUUUAGGCUUUUCAUAAGAUGAAACAUGCCACAGUGAGCACACUUGUGUACAUAUCAAGAGAAGAAAGAAAGGCACAAGUGAUUGUGGCUCCUUCCCUGGCUUUAGAGAAUGGUAAAAGGUGGGCAUAUGUCUUUGAAGAAAUACCCAAUGUCUGAUAUUAAGGGGGAGAAGGCAGAGAACAAAGGAUGUGGUAACAUGGUCUUACAUUAUCUAAAGACUUGCAGCUCCACAUCUGUAAGUCAAAUGUUGUUAUACAAAAAACGCAAGUGGUGUUUCAUUGGAAUUACCGAUUACUUAGAACCUGAGGAAAACUGGCUUUCCCAUAGGUGGUAAUGGGGUCUGAGCUCAUGCCAAGUCAUGAUUCCCUGCUUGCACAGGUCCAGGCACCCGGUGGGCACUCUCUUGGUGUUUGUGGGGAACUGAAUUGAAUCCAUUGUUGGACUUGACUUACUGAAGUUGGACGGCCCUCUGUCCCUCUGGGGUGGGGGUUCCUGGUCUGUUUAUCUUUCCCUUCUUGGCCUCACCCCCUUGUAAACUAGAUUGAGUCGCCUACAGCUUGAUGCAGGUACCCAGUGAAGUUUCUCCAUAAAAGAUUGGGAGUCGUUGAAGUGUUUAGAUUGUUUUAGGAAAGGAAUGAUUUCCCCCCCUUUUACAGGGUAGUAACUUCUCCACAGAAGUGCCAAUAUGGCAAAAUUGCAAAAGAAAACAGUAUUGUAAUGAUAUCAUUACAUAUGGAACAUUGAAUUAUUUAUAGGAACGCUCUUCCAAACAAAACAAAAAUGUCUCUAGGUUUAGUCAAAGCUUUCAUAAGUAAUAACCUUUCUGUACUAAAAUCAGAGUAACCCUUUCUGUAUUGAGUGCAGUGUUUUUACUUUUUUCUCAUGCACGUUAUAUUGGAGAAAAUGUUUACAAAAUGGUUUUGUUACACUAAUGUGUAUCACAUAUUUAUGGUUUAUUUUAAGUGAUUUUUUUUGGGUUAUUUAGGUUUUCUUAGUUGUAGCACAUUCACCCUAAUUUUGCCAAUUAUUAAUUUGCUAAUUAGUAAUACAAAUCACAAACUGCAUUAAGUUCACUAAUUAUAAAAGCUGCAAAGCAGACUGGUGGCAAGUACACAGCCCCCCCCCCUUUUUUUUUUUUUUUGCAGUGCUAACUUGUCUACUGUGUAUUAUGAAAUUACUGUUGUCCCCACCCUUUUUUCCUUAAAUAAAGUAAAAAAUGACACCUAUUUUAUGUGGCAUGAGUUUCAAAUAUGUUCUGACCCUUCAGAAUGUUUCCUUCCUGUGAGGAUCCAUAUUUUAUACACACCUGCCUCCCCUGAGCUAUCGGUACCAGAGAGGGCUCCUGUAUUCUGCUGUCUCACAUGAAAGGGGCUUGCCCAAGGGAUCGCCAGGUGUAGAUUAUGCAAGUAGCAAAUGUUUGUCUAAAGAUCUCAGAGAUGAAAUGGGUGAUGAACCUCCAUCACCAUGUUCCUGAAGCCAGUAUGGAGUAAAGCUGGUCCUUAUCCCUAAUAAGGAAAUAAUGUUGCAUUUCUGAAAUUUCGAAUUUGGAUUAAAAAGUAAAAAGCAUGAUGUCUGUAAUAGGACAAUUAAAGUAGCUCUUUUUCAAUU